UUAAGUUAUUAAGUCACUUUAAAUUAUUAAGUUGAUUUACCAAACACCCUUUAACAGUAUGACUUCUUCCUUUGUUACCAUUGACAUCUUCUGUUAUUGUCAAAAUUGUUGGGAACUACAAAUUUCUCUGUUCCUUGACCUUGAAUCGUAUAAGGUGAAUGCUUUCUACCCUAGGCAUCUUCAAAUCUAUCGCAGUGGAAUAACAAGGCUAUAAAAACCAAAAACAACAGAUUUAGAGAGUAUAAAGAUUAUACCUUUGAUCUGGAUGUUCCCAAAUUAUUUCCAAUCUGAUGAAGAUGUCAAAAACCAUUGUAGAAGUCAUUUACCCGAUGCUCUUCCACCCGAUCUCUCCUUCAAGGGUCUAGGCAUGGGAAAAGUGUGGACUUUUCUCUCUAAAAGAUAACUAGGGUUUUUCUCUUUGGAGGCUCUUUGGAAGAUGACAGGAAAAACUCUUAAACCCUAACCCCUUGAGGGGCUUAUGGGCUCUCUAUGGCCUUGAGGGUCUUUAAGCCCAAGUUGGGCUUAGGUCACCUAAACCAGCCUACUUGGGUACUAAUUAAUUAAUUAGCUCUAUUGAGCUUCAAUUAAUCAAUUAGUCUUGUCUAGAAAGACAAUUCAUAAGGUUUAAUACAACCUUAUGUUUUUAUCAAACGCCCUUAUUUACACUUAUGAACCUGAAACCAAAACUUCUCAAAACGAACGUGCCACCAAGAUUUAGGAGCUUGAGCAGAGGCCAUUGGGGCUCAUAGGGAAAUACUAGCUUUCUCGUAAUCUAAUUCUAAAGUUGAUUAAACAUUCUACUAAAGAGAAUCAACUGUACUUUAGUAUACUAUGUAAUUAAAACUAGGCGAAGAUUAAGGUCAUGCAUACUAUUUAUUACAUACAGACUUCCGGUGAACUGAUGUCUGUAAUCUAAUAAGAUACUGCUCUCAACCUAUCAAGGUUACCUAUCAAAUCCUUGAGGUGCAGAUUCACCUAUUAUAUGAUCAAUUGGCAUACUCGAGUUCCAAGGAGUAUAUUCAAAUUCCAUUGAAGGAAUUGCCAUGACCAUAGUUUUCUAAAUCAACUGUCCUUUGGAUCACCCAAGGGGACACAUUGUAUCAAUCCUUUGAGAUAUCAUGGUGUUUCAUUGAGAAUAUCUAUUGCCAUCAGCCUCCAUUAACAAUAACCCAAAUCAUAGGGAUAUAUGACUGUGUUAGGGUUUCAUUUAUAGGUCAAAACCUUCUAUUGAUUUUGAUACAGACUUGAUACCUUUUCAAGGUUGAGAGCCCAUGCAGUAAAGUUGCUUGGUGAAUCAUGAUAAUCGAUAACCUUAGGUCAUGAUUCACCGUAAGUCUUAUCCAAUAUUUAACCAUACACACAAGUGCACUAACCAUGGGAAACCUAUCCGGAUGGACAAGACAAGUCAUCCCUCCAAUUAGGAGAUAAUGCACUAUAGUCUCUAUUGAAUUGUCCAAAUCCAUGAACUGACUGUGACCAUGUUAUCAUCUUGCAAGGGGCUCAUGGCUUAUAUCCUCUAUGCUACUCUAAAUGCAUCCAAGUUAUGUACAAUACAAGCGAUAUGAGCAUGUAUGCUCGGAUAACCAAUUAAUGCACAAGGGGUAACAAAGGGAAACCAAGAAACAUAAAUAAAUAAAUUUAUUAAUGAAUUAACCAUUUGUUACAUCAUGUUAUGCUUUUCAGGGCUUUGGCCCAACAAAAAUAACCAUUUUGUUGUCCUCUAACCUCCAUUACCACAAAACUGCCUUCAUUGCCAUGUAGAUGUAUAUUCUGAAGUACUUGAUGAGGCUCGACAUGUGACUUGAGAUCGCAUAAACCAACAGUAUGGCUUCAUCCUUUGUCAACAUUGGCAUCUUCUGUCACUGUCAAAAUCACCAUUCUGUUGGCCUUCAACCUCUAUUACCACAAAACUGUCUCCAUUGUCAUGUAGAUGUAUAUUCUGAAGUACUUGAUGAGGCUCGACAUGUGACUUGAGAUGUCAUAAACCAACAGUAUGGCUUCUUCCUUUGUCACCACCGGCAUCUUCUGUCACUGUCAAAAUCACCAUUCUGUUGGCCUCCAACCUCCAUUACCACAAAACUGCCUCCGUUGCAACAUAACACUACAUUUUCCACUGCCAAGGAGAGCCUCUCUCUCUCUCACUCCCCACACAACCAACACCCUAUCUUGGUUAUGUUAUAAUCCUCUUUCACAGUUCUGUUCUAUCUUGUUCUGUCCCCACCCAUUCCCCUCUCCCACACAAAACCACUCUUUUCCUCCUCUUCCUUCCUUUGAACUCUGACAUUCUGUGCUGGAAAUCAUGGUUGUGUUGUAGUCCUCUUUGCAGUUCUGUUAUCUUGUGGAUUGUGCUUGGUGUGAUGCUCCCCUGUGCUAAGAUCCGGAACUUUAAGCUCCAAAGUCUUAUUUCUAACCGUUCUUACUUUCUACAACAACUACAAGUAUGUACAAGAAAUUACAACAAUUGGACCAAGAGUGAUUGACUAGAAACUAUGGAGGACAUCGGACUUGUGGGGAGAAUGAGAUACAGAGGAAGAUAAUGGCAUUGUUUUCUCUUUAGUCUCCCUCUCCUUGUAUAUAUAUGGGAGGGGGCAACAACUACAAGUAUGUACAAGAAAUUACAACAAUUGGACCAAGAGUGAUUCACCAGAAACUAUGGAGGACAUUGGACUUGUGGGGAGAGUGAGAUAUAGAGGAAGUUAAUAGCAUUGUUUUCUCUUUAAUCUCCCUCUCUUUGAAUAUAUAUGGGUGGGUGUGUUUGUGUGUGUACAGAUUUAUAUUUUCAAGUUAUCAAUUUACUAAAUGUUAUCACGUCUAGUUAGAACUAUGGGGUUAUUUUUGGUUUAAGGUGAGGACAUUGCUAGCUACGUUAAUGGUGAUGUGGGUUAAAAUCCCUACCUACAUGUGUAGGAUCAAAUUACAACUAUUAUAAAAGCUUGUAAUGCUACACCCAAUAUUUUGUCUCGACCUAAUUUGUUUUUUUUUUUAUUUUUUAUUUUAUUUUUACCAAUUAUAUUGUUGGAUCCAUAGUUGUUAAAAAUGCACUUAAAGUGUGUGUAGGCCUAAGGCAUAAUGACUCCCUCACUAUAGUAGCUCACUUGCAAAGCACAUACCUUGUUGGAGUGGGGUGCUUUGUCUAUUUUCUUUUUUCUUUUUAAUAAUUCCAUUCUUGAAAAUUUAGUUUGAUUUCUGGGUGACAUAUCAAAAGGAAAGAGGCCAAAGAUGUGCUUAGGGGCAAGAGAUUGAUUUAAACACUCUAUUUGUAGACCCUAAACGACCUUAGCUACUUGAAAGGCUCUCUCUUUUUGGAUGCUUCUUCUAAAUGGUUGGACUUUUGAAUUUUUUGUUGCUUGGAUUGAAUUUUUGAUAAAAUUGAUAGGCACCCUAAAUUAGGCCUCAUUAUGCAUCAGGUGUCACUAAUGUUGUGCUUUGAGCUUAAGCAUAGGAGAUUUUUAAGCCUAAGGUGUGCCUUAUGCUUUUCAAAACUAUGAUUCAAUUAGAUACUAUUACAAUGUCAAUUAUGCAUGUCAAACAUCAUAUUGCUUAGUUAUCAAUAGGUGUCGGAUCCAAAAAAUGACAUUUUAUUUUAUAAUUUUUUAUUGGCAAUACAUUUGUAGAUAUGGCAAAAAGUACACCAAAGUUCACCAAACACAUAUUACGGGCACCAAAUGGUAGUGCCAACAGAGAAUACAAAAAGCUACCCUUUCUCUCUCAGCACAAACUCAACUAAUCUACAAUAUCAACGGGGGGUAUUGAACCUUCUUUUAUGUACAACCUAAAUCCGUGCUAAAAGGUUACUUAGAAAUGAAUAUUCUAGCUUUUUAUCAUAUUACUCCUCUUUUUCAAACACUUUUUGAUUUCUUUUCUUCUAACUUGUCAAAAAAUGCAAAGAAGUAUCUCUUCAUACAUUUUUCUCUUUCCUUCUCACAAAGGAACCAUACCAGCUUAAAAGAAUCUCUUUGACCAAGCAAGGGAUCACCUAAACUAUGCCAAAUAAGGAGAAUAACAACUAUUAUAUAAUCCUUGAUUUUGCAUAGUGACGGAGAAUGUGACCUAUUGAUUCUUCUUCAUCUUUACAGAGAAAUACAUCUAUUUCUUAGUAGCCAUACUCAACAUCAAUGCCUUUCCCCUACUAGCUUUCCAAGUAAAAACAUCGCUUUAGAUGGGGCUCAUGAAUUCCAAAUUAUAGUUCCGUUGGAAAGGGAAUUGAUCUCCCCAUCUCCAAAACAGAUUAGAGGGAUUUGAGAGAAAAAACUUAAUUAUUGCAAUUCCUUCCAAGCCAACCUAUUGUUUUCUUUCCUCUUCACCGACUUACCUUGCAAUUUUGAGAAAAAAAUUUCAACAAUAUCCAACUCCUAAGUGUCUAGAGAAACAUGGAUUCUAAUGACACCCCACACUUGUCUCAUUCCAUAAAUCCAUCAUCCAAGCCUCUUUUGAGGUGACUAAAACAUAUGAAGAGGGAAAGGACACAUACAUGGGCUCCUCCCCACAAUAUUUAUCCUUUCGAGACGCCACCCUCCUUUCAUUACCCACUUCAAAGGAUGCCUUAUUAUUGAAGAGGUCCACCCUUUCCUAGUACCUUUCCAUACCUAACCCUAUUCCCAUCUCUCACAUUACAAGAAUACUAAUUCCCUUCUUCCUUGUCAUAUUUUCUCUCUAUGACUUGUUUCUAGAGAAUUUCUCUUUCAAAAGCAAAUCUUUAGCCAUAGUUUCUAAGGAGAGCCUAAUUAAAUGAUGAAAGGCUUGUACUAUUCAGUUUUCCCUUGCUCUUAUUCAUGCAAAUGGUUGUCCAUUUCACUAAAUGUGAUUUUUUCUCUAUGCCUCACCUUCCUAUAGAAGAUGUCUUUGAAUCUUCUCAAGUCUCAAACUGUCUUUGAGCCUCUCACCUUUUGAAAUAUAGUCUUUUCCAUAUCAACAAUCUUUUAUAAACCCUCUCUUCCACCCAAUUCCAUACCAAUACAGAUUUGAAAGGAGCACCCAACAGUAGAACUAAGUAGAUGAAAGCUCUCCCAUUGCAUAGCCUAACUCCAACGCCGACUUCUCCAUAUUAGCGACCCCCCCCAAAUUGGGAUUAAUUCUCAUUUUGUGUGUUUAUUUUUAGCCUUGAAAUUACUUCAAACCACAUGAGUAGCGAACUUAAAUGAAUCAUUUGAUCUCAAAAAUCAUUGCCAAAAAACCAAAGUAUCAUCUGCAAACAUCAGGGGGGACAUCUUCACUCUCUCACUACCCCUCCCCCUCACCCUGAAGCUUGGCAAAAAUAACUGCCCUCCUUGGCCCCUCUCUAAAACACAACUCAACACCUCCGUCACCAACACAUACAUGAAUGAGACAACUUUUAAUGUAUGAUCAACUUGAUAUUUGGCAUGCAUGAUAAGAAUGGCAGUUCGACUAUACUCCAAUGGUGGAUUUGGGAAGACA